UACGGGGGGGGCAAGCGUUGUUCGGAAUUACUGGGCGUAAAGGGCUCGUAGGCGGCCAACUAAGUCAGACGUGAAAUCCCCCGGCUCAACCUGGGAACUGCGUCUGAUACUGGAUGGCUUGAAUCCGGGAGAGGGAUGCGGAAUUCCAGGUGUAGCGGUGAAAUGCGUAGAUAUCUGGAGGAACACCGGUGGCGAAGGCGGCAUCCUGGACCGGUAUUGACGCUGAGGCGCGAAAGCCAGGGGAGCAAACGGG
rnacentral:rRNA from 1 species